UUCCUCCAGAAUACAGUCAGACACUGACAGCAACGUUCCGCGGCGAUGUCUAUAGUUUCGGCGUCGUUCUUCUCGAGCUUCUUACCGGUAGAAGGCCUGUUGAAGUCAUCAAGGGGAAAAAUUGCAGGAAUCUGGUUUCUUGGGUUCAUCAAAUGAAACAUGAAAAUAAGGAGCAAGAAAUAUUUGAUCUUGCCAUUUGGCAAAAGGAAAGGGAGAAACAACUAUUGGAAAUGCUUGACAUUGCUUGUAAAUGUCUUGAUCAAGAUCCAAGGCAAAGACCUUCUAUUGAAAUGGUUGUUUCAUGGCUUGAUAGUGUUAAAUUUGAUGGAUUUCAACAGUGAUCUCAUAGUUCUUGCUUUUGGUUUUGGUUGGUGUAUGAUUAACAAUACAGUUGUAACUUGUAAAGCAAGUUUGUUAUAUGAAAGGUGGAAUAUAAAUGUUCUUAUUAUUGCCACACUUUUAUUUUGUUUGUUUAGUCCUUACAUUAUACUUAUAGUUAUAACAUGUAUAAAGGGAUAAUUUUUUUUUGUCAUGAAAUAUUUGCAAAAGCAAUAUAAACAUGUAACCGUUUCCUAUUUGUGUCUAUGAUUUUAAUGUUCUGUUGUAUUAUGAGUCUUUUACUGUGCCAUGCACUUGUUUUCAAGUGCAUGUAAUGCAUGGUGUGUAUUAGGAACGAUUUCUAAUUCUUACACAUUUAUUUGUCUUUAUUCUUCAGGUUGAUUUUCUUUGCCUAGUCUUAAUCACUCAAUUUUGGUUGUUUUUUUGUCCCCAUUCUUGAUUGUUAGUAAGAUCUAUUAUGUGUGGCUUGAAUAUGUGGACUGUGCUUGUGCACCUAAUAAGCAUCAUACAUUGACGAUUCCUCUUUUGAUUAUCCAUAGUAAAUAAAUUUCUUUUUUUAAUGACACAUGAUCUAAUUUCGUACUUUUUUCUUUUAUUUUCUAUCUUGUAAUUGAAUUUUUAAGUUUUAUUUUUUGUAUCUAUUUUAAAAUGAUAUUUAUUUCAAUUAUGAAAAUAAUUUAUUUAAUCAUUGGAGUCAAAAUUAAAUAGAUAAAUGUACCAAAACUCUUAAUUUAAUCAAUUUUAAUAAAAAUUAUAGUAAUACCUAUAUAAAUAAAUUAAAAAAAAUUAUUGAUCAAAAUAUUCAUAAUACAAAUAUCCAUUCCUUUUUAACAAUAGAGUAAAACUUGUCUAUUUACAUAUCAUAACUUAGUAAAAUUAUGAAUGUGUUUGUUUUUACGAGCGAAAUAAAUAGAAGUUCUAAAUGAUAACUUUGACAUUAUUAUGUUCAACGUAUAUGUAACUUGAAAACAAAUAUGCACUCUAUCACUCAAUUAUUUUCAAUGUUUUCCUAUAAUUAUGUCACUUUUUUAUUCAGGAUUUUAUACACGAAUUUAUGUCAUCCUUCUUUCUUUUCUCCUACCGCAUUAUUUGACGUUUUAAAAUUUGAUGCAUGAUAAUGUUGACCAUUAAAAUCUAGAAGUGAAUUUUUUGGCCUCUUUCAUUGCAAACACAAAGACUAUGCAAAAUCAGAGAAUAAACUUAUGUUCUCUUGUGGAAAAUGAGGAUUGAAAAACCAUUUGCUAGACUUCAAUAUUCAGGUCAAAGAUUUAAUUAAAGAGUAGAAAAUGAUACAUUUAUUUUAUAAAAUUGGUCAUUGGAUUAUGUUCUUCAUUAAGAAAAGGGUGAACAAUUCAGAGUGGUUUAAAGAGAGAAUGGACCAAACAAUUCUUAAAACGUGGGGCAUCUUUGUCAAAUACAAGAUGAGUGGAAUCUGCACUUGGCAAUUUAUUAAUUGGCUGGAGAAAUAAAUCACAUCACAUCAAUAAUGUGAAAUCUCACUGCCAUGUAUUAUACAUUAAUUAAAAUGUCAUUUCCAUGAUUGAAACUUCUCCUAUGCCAAUUACUUUUAAUUUCCAAGAGAUCCUAAAGUACCUUUCUAAUGGGAAUGGAUUAAUGGAAGGAAUUUUUUGUUUGAAAAGUAGCCUGAAGUUUAGUAAUGGAAAUUUUUUUUCAGACUAAACUACAUUUUAACUCUUUAAAUCAUUUUUAGGUUUCAUGUUAGACUCUUAAAUUUUAUGUUUCAUUUUAGUUUUUUAAAUUAUAAAUUUUAAAUAUUUUGGUCUUUUAAAUUAUUUUUGUUUUAUUUUAGUCUCUCAAAUUAUAAACAUUAAAUAUUUUGAUCUCUUAAUUUACUAAAAGUAGACAUCUUGAUCCUUUAAGUUACUUUCGUUUUGUUUUAGUCUCUUAAAUUAUAAAAAUUAAACAUCUUGGUUGUUUAAGUUACAACUUUAGACAUUACUAGAAAAAAUCAAAUUAUACAAUAUUUGUAAUUUAAAUUGUCAAAGUGUCUAAUAUUUGUAAUUUAAUAUAUUAAAAUAAAAUAAAAGUAAUUUGAGAGACCACGUUUGUAACUUAAAAGAUAAAAAAAAAGACCAAAUUUUUUAUUUAAUCAAUUUUUUUAUUAAUAAACUAAAAUGAGAAAAUGAGCUCUUUUAAAUGACAUAUACACUCAUUUUACUUUACAAUAGAUAUUAGUGUAAUUGUCUUUAACUCAUAACUCAACUGAUAAAGUUGAUGUUGUCAAAUUUGUAUGUUUAAACCUAACUCACAGUUAUAUGUAAAGUUUUAAUGAGUAAUAUCAAUAUUUAAUUAACAAAUAAAAGAUAUAUCAUAAUAAAUCAUGAAUUUAUUAAAAAUAACAACUUUUAAUUUUCUAACUUUAUACUUUACUCAUAUUAGAUUAUCUAAAUUCCUCUAAUUAAAUUAUGCACGAUUCAUCUCUUUCUUUUAAUAAUAGAGAAGGUAUGCAUAUCUUUUAAACAGAAUUGAAGGAGUGUGCAACUUUCUCAAUGAAUAAUGAGAGUUUAUUAUGUUUUUAAUUAUACACAGUUUGUUUAUAUAUCCACUUUAUGCCGCAUAAAAAUAUUUCUUAUAUCUUUUAUUUAUAUAUUAUAUAUAUGUAGAAAAAAAUAGUAUAUUCUUUCGUAUUUUAGUGUUUGGCCGGUAUCAACAAGAUAUAAAUAUUUUAAAAUUAAAUUUAUUUAAAUAUUAACUAAAUGUAAAAAAAUAUGUGGUAUUAAAUAGUUCAACGUUGGGUAUCAUAUCCAAUAAAAUAUCAAAGUAUCCGAGUGUUGAAUAAAAAUUUGAUAUAUAAAUUGAUUUUUUUCUCACAUUCGUGCAGAGCACCGGACCCAUAUAUGGGCAGGAGUAAAUGUGGACAAAUAUUUAAACAUAUCUCAGCUGAUGUGAGUGCAAUUUUUCAAUCUAAAAUCCCAUGAAACCAACAAGUUGCAUUAAAAAAAAAGGCACUUUAAAUAUAUGAUUAAGCUUUUUGUGGCAGUUGAGGUUUUUCUUCAUGUUUCUAUGACAACUUGACGUGAACUCACCUAAUGCACUAGCCAGUACAAAUUGUGUGGUAAUAAACAUAUCCAUGUAAUCUCUUUUCCAUAUGGUGAUCAAUAAUGCACUAUAUUUUAAUAUGUACUUUAGGCGAAAAUAAAUUAUAAAGUGAUACUAGGAUUUGUCCAAAAAAAAAUUAUAUAAUGAUAUUGGUCAAGUCAUUAUCUAGAAAAAGUAGAAGUAACGCGUUAACAUUUGAAAUUUAAUAUUUUCAGCUACAUUGAAUAAUGCCAAGGAAUUAGGAAAUUUCCUCCUCUAGAUUGAUGUCGUUGAAAAUAGAGUAUGUGAGAAAAUAGUGGAAAAUGAACAUAAUGGUGUAAGAUGGUAUAUUCAAAAUGGUAUGUGAGAAAAUGAAUGUCGAUCUGCUGCAUUUAGGGAUCUUCGCAUUAAUGUAGUUAAGAUAUUAGCAAACUAAAAAGUGUUAUUUUUUUUUAUUAAUGACUAAUAUAUUACGUAUGUUUUCGUGAGUGAUUAAAAUAUGCUUUAUGUGAUAUAAAAAAAUCAAUUUUAUUUUUUCAGUAUUAGGUUGCAACGUGGAGAUGUGAAGAUAUGAUUAUGUACUAUAUUUAUUUAUUAACUUUGGGGGAGGGUUACACAUUGGAGGAUAAGAUCAUUUUCAUAAAAAAUAUAUUAAUUACUUAUUGAAAGUAUUAAAUAUUUUUUUUUGUCUUAAAAAAAUUCUAUCAUAAUUAGUUUACACAAUUGUAUGGUUUUAGUUCAAAUUUAAAAUUUAAUAAUGUUAAUAUUUGUCAGUUGAAAUAAAAUUUAUAGAGAUUAAUAAUACUAUAUUUAAUUGAUUAUAAUUAGUAAAGAAGUACAUAAAAGUUAUAAAUAUUCGACAGAGAGGCAAUUACUACAUUCAGCCAUUGUUUUUAUUAUGAUCUGGUACUAUAUAUAGUUUUUAUUUUCUCGUAACUUUAUCUUUAACUUUUGUUUAGAUUCUAAUGUCAUUAUACAUUUUUAUUUAUUUAUAGUUUCCUUUUUAUUUUUGUUUAUGGUUAUUUUACAUUUUUUUUAACUAUACCUGAUAUGCUUUAAAAUUAAUUAAAUGUUUUUUUAUUAUACUAUAUAUAUUUAUGUCUCGUUUUUCUUAUCAUUAUUUUAUAUUAGAAUUUUAAAAUAGAGUAUUUCAAAAUAGGAACAUCAUUAGAAUCAAAAUAGUUGUUAAAGUUAAAGUAACAAAGAAGUAAAAACCAUGUCUGGUAUAUGAGCAUAAUAAAAAAUAUUAUAUAAGUCAUAAGAUAGUUUAGUGGAAAAACGUAAAUAUUGAAGUGAUGAUAAAAUUAUAGAUUCAACAGAAAGUUAUAUUUUUAAUAAAAUUAAUAAUUAAUAAUUAAUAUUAAUUGUUUAAAAAUAAUAAAAAAUAUUAUUCGAAUAUUAUUGACAUAUUUUUCUGAUAUCUAUAUAAUAUUUAUGUAUUUUGUUAAUAAUUAUAAUCAAUUAAGUAGAAUUAUUAAUAAAUAAUUAACAUUUUUUAUUAUUUAUUAUUUUUUUUGUUUUUUUAUUAAAUAUCAUUAAAAAAAAUGAGGUAGUGAUUGCACCCUUAUGGAUGACCCUUCCCAAAAUAAAAUUAGAAAAAAAAUUAUUAAACUCCACGAUGUGAAUAAUAAAAAAUAAAAUUAAUUCCUUUAUAUAAUUGCAUUAUAGAAAUACGAUCAAAUGAAUAUUCAAAAAAUAUGACAUUUUAAUAUUUACUUUUUUAGGGUGGUUUAUUUUUUUUUCAAAAAAGAGGAAUAGUAGAAAAAAAAUUCAACCCCCACAUACAUUGUAAAUUACAAAAAUUAUCCUCCAUUAUAAUAAAUAAAUUUUUACUUUAUUAAAAUUUGUCUCAAUAGAAUUUGUGUUUCAGUAAUUCCUAAAAUCUAGUUCAAUUGAUGUUAAUACCAUUAAAUUGAUUAUCGUAUUUCACAUUUAAAAUGAGAUUUUGCAUUUAUUUAUAAAUGUUUUUACUAUUUUAUCUACAUAAAAGAAAAACAAAUUUUGAAUUCGAGAAAAAUAAUAUACAUUUUAAAUUGAAUUUUUCGUAACACAUAGAAUUUUGUAGUGGUUGAUGACUUUAUGUUUAACAAAUUUAAAUUUAAUUUUCAAAAACUCUAAUGUGUUUCAAAAACAAAAAACUCAAUUUUGAGUUUUUUAAAUUGUAAAAAAAAAAAAAAAGAGCUUUCUAUCACGAAUUACGUUUUAAUCUCUAGAAAAAAAAAAUAACCGUAAUAUUUUCUUUUUUUUUUGUAAAAAACGGUAUAUUUUAGAUAAUUGAAGAAGUGAAGAUGAAAAAACUAAAAAUAGAAAUAGUCAAAAGUGAGAAAAAUAAAAUGAAAAUUUUAAAAACUUAUGAGAGUACGAGAUUAGUGUACAGCUAUUAAAAAGAAUCAAGACAAUGAAAAGAGAUUGGUGAGAAGUGUUAGACUUCUCUAAGGAUAUUUAAUAUUUAACGUGUCUCUAAUAAAAUUAGUAAAGAAAAUCUAGAGAAGAAAAAGACAUUAUCACAAGUGAACACAAAGGAUGCAGCUCUAUGUUUGGUCCAAAUAUCGGUUUAAUGGACUAACCUUGUAGCCUUUUACCAUUUUAUGGGCCUUCUUAAAACAACACAACCCAAACAGCUACACUAAUCCACCUAUUUCAUCUUUGGCCCAAAAGCAUAAAAAACUCAUAUAUGCUUUGGAUGGUACCUGCUGUCAUGCAUGCUUGUGUUGUGCCUAAGCUUUAUCUCAUUAUUUUCAGCUAAAUAUGUACGAGUUUACAAAUGUAAGGGGAAUAUAUAAUUUCAAGAAAUCGAAAGAAUAUGCGAGAAAAACCGACUAAGAUUAGCAUUCU
rnacentral:lncRNA from 1 species